UGAACGCUGGCGGCGUGCUUAACACAUGCAAGUCGAACGAGAAAGGGAUUGCUUGCAAUCCUGAGUAGAGUGGCGCACGGGUGAGUAACACGUAGAUAAUCUACCUUCAAGCCCGGGAUAACUAUUCGAAAGGAUGGCUAAUACCGGAUGAAGUGGUUUAACACAAGUUAAACCAUGAAAGAUUGCCUCUUCCUGAAAGCAAUUGUUUGGAGAUGAGUUUGCGGACCAUUAGUUUGUUGGUGGGGUAAAGGCCUACCAAGACUACGAUGGUUAGCUGGUCUGAGAGGAUGAUCAGUCACACUGGAACUGGAACACGGUCCAGACUCCUACGGGAGGCAGCAGUGAGGAAUUUUGCGCAAUGGGGGGAACCCUGACGCAGCAACGCCGCGUGAGUGAAGAAGGCCUUUGGGUCGUAAAGCUCUGUCAACUGGGAAGAAGUUGUUAUUAUCCAAUAGGUAAUACCAUUGACGGUACCAGUGGAGGAAGCGCCGGCUAACUCC
rnacentral:rRNA from 1 species